rnacentral:rRNA from 2 species
AGAGUUUGAUCCUGGCUCAGGAUGAACGCUGGCGGUAUGCUUAACACAUGCAAGUCGAACGGACUCUUCGGAGUUAGUGGCGGACGGGUGAGUAACGCGUGAGAAUCUGGCUUCAGGUUCGGGACAACAGUUGGAAACGGCUGCUAAUACCGGAUGUGCCUUAUGGUGAAAGAUUUAUCACCUGAAGAUGAGCUCGCGUCUGAUUAGCUAGUAGGUGUGGUAAGAGCGCACCUAGGCGACGAUCAGUAGCUGGUCUGAGAGGAUGAUCAGCCACACUGGGACUGAGACACGGCCCAGACUCCUACGGGAGGCAGCAGUGGGGAAUUUUCCGCAAUGGGCGAAAGCCUGACGGAGCAAUACCGCGUGAGGGAGGAAGGCUCUUGGGUUGUAAACCUCUUUUCUCAGGGAAGAAUGAUGACGGUACCUGAGGAAUAAGCAUCGGCUAACUCCGUGCCAGCAGCCGCGGUAAUACGGAGGAUGCAAGCGUUAUCCGGAAUGAUUGGGCGUAAAGCGUCCGCAGGUGGCAAUGUAAGUCUGCUGUCAAAGCGUCUGGCUCAACCAGAUAAAGGCAGUGGAAACUACAUAGCUAGAGUAAGGUAGGGGUAGAGGGAAUUCCUGGUGUAGCGGUGAAAUGCGUAGAGAUCAGGAAGAACACCGGUGGCGAAAGCGCUCUGCUGGACCUUAACUGACACUGAGGGACGAAAGCUAGGGGAGCGAAUGGGAUUAGAUACCCCAGUAGUCC